CAACUCACGCCCUGACCAACCUAAAACAAAGACAUAACAAAAUAACUAAGGUCAGAACCAAGCUAUAUGGUAUCGAUACAAUGUGCAGUUGGGUGCCAGACUGAUCACCUGGUUAUGAAUGGAUGCCGGGACCUACCAGUAGGAGCAAAGGGUCAAUCAACACCACCUCUGAAGAUUGCCUGCUGCAAUUGUUUGAGAGAUGUCCAGUUUUCAACUGAACCUGCAGUAUAGAGAAUACCAGCAAGGGGGCCCUUCUCAGCAUCAUGUAGACAUG